AUUUGUAAAUAGAAAAAAUAUUGUUUUUCUUAACGACUUAAUAUUUUCUAGUUUUUUCCUUUUUAUUAUUCUUAAAUUAAAGUGAAAUGUCAAACUGAAAAUCUAGAGCCUUGUUUGGCAACUCUGUUUCAAAUUCAGUUAUGACUAGCUAAUAAGAAAGCUUGUUGAAGCCGCCAUGUUCUAAUUCCCGCAUCUAUAUAAUGUCCUUCGUUCUUGACCGUUAUAGUUAAGAGCACGUUAAGAGAAAGAGAUCAGAAUUAUCGAAUCGCAUCACAUGUCGAAGUGGACUAGGAUCAUUUCACGAAAACCGAUAUUGCAACAGGAAACAGAUCAAGGAAACAGAUCUAUUGCAAAUCUAUUUCAUGGUAUUCAUGUGUAGUGAAAGCGAUGCAUCAAGAAGUUGAUAUUUUGCAAAGAUUCAUUGAAAUCAAUAAUGAAAUCCAGAACAUCCAAUAACUUUUAUCUAAAAAUUAUAAGAGACAAUGUUUUUGUUUAAAAAAAGAUUUUAUUUCUUAAAGUUUGGUAGACUUUGAAAGACUUUGAGAGACAG